CUUAUUACAUGGCCCCAGAGGUUCUAAAACGCAAUUAUGGCCCUGAAGUUGAUGUCUGGAGUGCUGGAGUUAUUCUAUAUAUUUUACUUUGUGGUGUCCCACCUUUCUGGGCAGAAACUGAGCAAGGGGUAGCGCACGCAAUUAUUCGCUCUGUCAUUGAUUUCAAGAGGGACCCAUGGCCUAAAGUUUCUGAUAAUGCAAAGGACCG
rnacentral:misc_RNA from 1 species